rnacentral:rRNA from 1 species
UACGGAGGGGGCUAGCGUUGUUCGGAAUGACUGGGCGUAAAGCGCGCGUAGGCGGAUUGGCAAGUUGGGGGUGAAAUCCCGGGGCUCAACCUCGGAAUGGCCUUCAAGACUGCUGGUCUUGAGUUCGAGAGAGGUGAGUGGAAUUCCGAGUGUAGAGGUGAAAUUCGUAGAUAUUCGGAGGAACACCAGUGGCGAAGGCGGCUCACUGGCUCGACACUGACGCUGAGGUGCGAAAGCGUGGGGAGCGAACAGG